rnacentral:misc_RNA from 1 species
GAUGAAGAACGUAGCGAAAUGCGAUAGGUAGUGUGAAUUGCAGAUGUAACGUGAAUCAUCGAAUCUUUGAACGCAAAUUGCACUCUCUGGUAUUCCGGGGAAUAUGCCUGUUUGAGGGUCGUCUAAAUAAACAUCGAUUUUAUUGCUUAUUUUUUUAUAUAAAAAGUAAAUAUUAUCGGAUUUGAGCUUUUCUUUAUAUAUAAUUUUUGUAUAAAGUAGCUUAAAAUUUUUUUUUGGUAUCAAAAAGCGUAUUUUAUAUAGUCAAUUCUGAUUAAAAAACGCUUGAAUUUUUGUAUACCACCAUCAUGUAAUACGUUUGACUUGUCAUUUUUAAGUUCAUUCGUAUACGAAGUUUUUUUCAAUUUUAGACCUCAAAUCAGGUAAGAAUACCCGCUGAACUUAAGCAUAUCAAUAAGCGGAGGA